rnacentral:tRNA from 1 species
CGGGGUGUAGCGCAGUUUGGCUAGCGCGUCUGAUUUGGGUUCAGAAGGUCGGGAGUUCGAAUCUCUUCACCCCGA